rnacentral:lncRNA from 1 species
CUUCAUUCCUAAUGCUAAUUGGCUCUCUCACUUCUGAGAUUGCCCCACCCCAGAGCAAACAAGAGAGUCGGUAAAUUCUUAGUCUGGGAGACUUUGGGGGAGUUCCCAUGAAGCGAGGGCCAUCCUGACUGUUAGAUCUCUCUGGGUCCCUUAGCUUCAUCUUGUCUCCAGGAUGGUGUGUGUGCUGCCCCGGGGUCUGGACAGAGGUUCUGGCUGUGACCCUGCUGGUGCUGAAUUCCCAGGUGGCUGCAGGCAGACAUGCCCCAAAUUGUCCCAAAGUUCGACUAAGCUGCUGGAAAGGUUUAAAUUUGGUUGUUAUUGGGGGAGCAAGGGGUAGACUUUCCUGGAUUAAUUUCCCAGGUAUGAUUUCAAGGCCAUGAGUGACGCUGGAGUGUUUGGGACCACCCCUGGUUUUCAUGAAUAACAUCAUGGUGGAGUAGGGGAAUGUCUUCCCAUCCAUUUCUCAGAGGCAGGUUAGGGGCAGGUACUGGUCUAGAGAGACCAAGGGGAUUGAUCCAGGCUGGCUUUUCUCCUGUCUUCAUGAUCCAUUGUUAAUGGACUGAAAAAAAAAGGUGUAGGCUCAAUUUUCCCUCAUCCUCCACUCCCCUGGUCAGGCCAGGCUUGCACUCCCUACUCCCCAUCUUUCAGUGUCAUCUCUGGUCUCCACACUAUUGCUGCUGUCCCUGAAGCCUGGUCAGGAUCAAAGGGCCUCUGCCAUGACCCAGUAGAGGUGUAAGAUCCUUUGUUCUGGGCAGGGAGGGAGCCCUCUGGGAUGGGACACAACCUCUUCCAGCUAGUGUAAGUAUUAUAGGGGAACAGAUAAAAGCCCCUCUGGCACUGUCUGCAUUAUUUCCCCUGCAGCCUGGCCUGGCACCUGGCCUGGCCCAUCACAGUCUCUUUGGGAUCCUAACCUGUUCUCAAGGAAUCUGACCCACUUUUGAGGUUUAUCAACUGCACUGACUCUGGGGGGAGAGUAUGUCAUGUGUCACAUCCAUUCUCCAGGUCUGGGCAAGAAGAAGGGCCUUCUAGAGACAGUCUAUUA